AAAAAAAAGUAUUUAAAAUGAUCAUAUUAAAUCAACACCAGAUUUGGAUUUGGAUUUCUGUAUGAAAGCAUUUGUAUUAAAAUGUAGUAGUUUAACAUUAAUAGUGUAUUAAAACAUUCAAACAAAAACAAUGAUAUCAAAGUGUUCUUGAUAUGGGAUAUAUUUCAGUUCUUUCAAAAACAUUUCACAUCUGGAAUUUGUAGUAAAAACAUCAGAGGAAUUAAAUAAGGUACAUAAUGUCAUAAUCUGUGUAAAAUGCAGUAGUUUAAACAAUAACAGUGUAUACAUUUUAUAUAACAGAAGUGGCAACAACACUUUGCAUUUGAAUUUUUGUCCAAAAAAACCAUCAGCAAUGAAAUGAGGUAGUUUAAUAAUAAUGGUGUAUAAAAUUUUAUAAAAACAUAAUAAUAAUAACAUCAUAAGUAUAAAACUAGACAAUAAAAAAAUUUAUCAAUGAUCUACAUUAUAAAGAAAUGCAUCUAUAACAAAUAUUAAAAAAAAGAGUAUUGUUCAAAUAAGCACCAUAAGUAUUAUUUUUUUUUUAAAUAAUAAGUAGAACUACAUAAUAUGGUCACAUAUAAUGAGCAAACAAUACAGCUAUUUAGUGUUGUAUUUAAAAUAAAUUUAUCACAGUUUAUAGGCACAUAUAAACAUGAUAUGUGAUAUUUAUGAAAAAGUAAAAAAGGGGGUAUGCAUGUUUUAAGAUUUCUAUAAGUUUACCUAAUUUAUGAUGUAUUGUAAUAAUGCUAUUAAUGGCACAUAUAUUGAGUGUUUUGUAAAUAAAAUUCAUUGGCACUAAUACAAAAUGACUAGUUAAUACACACAAUUGAAUAUCUAAAUUAAAAACAAAAAUUUAGAUUUAACAAUGUAAAAAAAAAUAACUACAUCUACUGUAAAUUAAAUCUAGUAAAAAUGACUGACAUUUUUUUUUUUUCUAAACUGCAUAUCUAAAUUAAAACAAAAAAAUCAACUACAACAAAAAUCUAGAUUCAACAAUGGGAAAAAUGCUACAUCUACUGUAAAUCUAAUCUAAUAAUAAUGACAGACAUGCUUUUCUAAACCUUAAUGAAUAUAAAAGUUGACAAUAAAACAAACCUAUUUAGAAUUUGUAGUCUAAACCUUCAUGAAUAUAAAAAUUGACAACAAAACAACCUAUUUGGAAUUGUAGGCUAAACCUUCAUGGACAUAAAAAUUGACAACAAAACAACCUAUUUGGAAUUGUAGUCUAAACAUUCAUGAAAAUAAAAAUUGACAACAAAACAGCCUAUUUGGAAUGUGUAGUCUAAACCUUCAUGAAUAUAAAAAAUGACAAUAAAACAACUUAUUUGGAAUUUGUAGUAUGAAAUGCAGUAGUUUCAACAAUAACUGUAUAAAAUUUGAAUAUAUAUAUAUAUAAACAUCAUAAAUCUUUUUAAAGGGAGGUAUUUCAGCUUUUCUAUAACAACACUUCACAUUUGGAUUUUUGUCAAAAAAUACAUCAGGAAGUUGAAUAAAAUUUGAUAAAAACAUAAUAAUAUCAUAAUUUUUUAAAGGAGGUAUUUUAAAUUAAACAAUUUCAUAGGUAUAAAACUAAUCUAAAAAAAUGCAGGGAUUAAAAACUACUUCUAAAUAAUUGUAUAUGAACACAUGUGCACAGUUAAAAAAUAUAUAUACUAAUAUUGCAUAGAUUGAGAUUCUUUAUAUGUAAAACAAACAAAAUAUUUAUAAAAAUUUACUGGAAUAUACAUUUAAACACAUCUUUAUUAUCUCUUAUUAUUUUGUAAUAAUGGUGUUUUUCCAAAUUUUACAUUUACCAAUUCCAGAGUAGUAGUAUUUCUGAUUUUUUGUUGUUGCUAUUUUUCUUUCUUGAACAAACUGAUACACUACAAAAUAUUAAGACAAUUAUGGUCUUUUUUUUAUCCAAAGACAUGAAAAAAUUAAUUCAAUAGUUAUGAUUUUUUUUUCUGACUUUGAUUCAAAAUGUCCAAGUAUUUUUUUUUACAAAUUAAUUUCCUCAAACAUGAUCUUUUUUUUUGUUUUGGUUCUUGUUCUACUGGCAAUGGGAGAUAUUGACAUCAAUUCAAUUGGUGAUGCAGAAGGUUCAGGUGAUUCCUCUUGGUCAUUGAUAUGAAAUGCUGGAGGUGGUGAUGGUAGUGUAUCAUGUUUUGGGCUUGUUGACUGUGGUGGCGUGUAGAUGCUACGAUUGAAUGGUUCAGGCGUGCUAAUAUUUCCCUGUGCUGAUGGUGUUUGGGAUGAUUCCAUACUUAAAUAUGAGGACUGCAUGGUCUGGCUAUAAAGAUGUGAAUUUGUGGUAGAAUUAAGGCUUCUAAGUAGUGCUUCUGUCUUUUGAGGUACUGCACCUGUUGUCAGUGUGGUAAGUAACAGAUUUAUUUUGGUUGUAACUGUUGCAUUAUUGGGAA